rnacentral:misc_RNA from 1 species
ACGCGUGGACCGAGACGGUCCCGUGCCGUUCGCCCGAGGCGGUGCCGUACUCCUCGUGAGCACGGACCAGCGGCGGUUGGACCGGAGCCACAAGGCGGCAUCGGAAGGUGAGUUGGCGUGGGUUCGUCCCGGACUGACASCUUAUAGCCCUGGCGUGCGGUGCUCCGGCCCGCCCGACGAAGAAGGACAGACCUUGCCCUUUGUGGUGCUGGCCGAAUGUCGGGGCCUCCCGAUCCGAGUGAGCCGUGCUGAGUGUGSUGCGUGCAGKGCUWAUCCUGGCGGCGAUCUCGUGUCUGACAGCCUCUCUUGUGCGCCAGUGCUGCUGGUAUUCGGAC